UUGUGCUUACUGAGAGAGGCUUGGGGAAUAGAAGUUUGUGGCUUGACAGAGUGUAAUUAACACAUCAUCUACACAAAGCCGGAAGACGAACUCUACAGCCCCACCGUGAUUACUCCCAGGAAACACACUGUAAUUGUAUCGUCCCAUCCAAAUGCACUGGGACAAGUGUUUAUGUGUUGGAUGAGAGUCAAGGCAGAUUAAGAAGUGUUUAUGCCAGAGGCAGCUUCCCUCACCAGCAUGAGGAGGCAGGAGGUGAGAGGAAGCUGGAUGGAGCUGGUCAAAUAAUCCCCAGCUGUUCAGUAGAACAUGAAGCCUAACUAGGGACUGUGGUGUGGGAGACCAUGUCAUAAUGGGGAAGAUGUUCACACCACAAUGUGAAAAGAGCAGAAUGUGUAACAGAGAAGCUGAAUAAUCCCAGGACCUCCAGAUGUUAAUUUUUGUGUGACUGCUUUGGAUGUUUCUAAAAUUAUUCUCUGUAGAGGCAUCGGAUGCCAGGAUGCAGAUGGGGUGGUUUCUCAGCAUCGAUGCAAUUUGGGAGAGAAUAAUCAAGAAUCGUGCUGAAAGGACAGUAAUUCACACAGAAUCCGCAAAGAAAUAAAGACCUACUGAGAUUACAACCACAAAUAUUUUCCCAGGCAUGGGAACCAUCUUGUCGGGGCCUAUUAGGCCUAGGAGCAAUGAUCCAGAGGCCUGCCAUUUCCUGGUGACUAUGGACAAGGUAGGUUGAAUUGAUGGCCCAAGAUUCUGCCUUAGGGCAUUAACUUCAGUCAGUUAUUGAAGUUACUGCUAGUUUUGAAAUAGUGUUUGCUUUAAAUCUCAAAUAAUGUAAAUCUCACCAGCAGGAAGAGUCCCUCUGAAGCUACUCCAGCUCUGGUAGAAAACCAGAAAAUAUGCUGUGAAGUUAGGAGGAAGGGAGGACCAGGCCUGACACAACGAUCAUCUGUACCAUGCAGAGAAGAGAGGAAGACUUCUGUUUUGUUUUGUUUAUGUGCCACAGAGAAGCCACUGAUUUGAGUUUCAAAUUAUGGCAUAAUGGUUCAUUUACGCAAACCAUAAAUGAGCUUAUGUAAUGUUCUUAUGAAUAACAUACACACCAAUCUUGGCAGGCAUUUCUCCCUUGUUAAUUCUUAUAUUUUGUUUGUAUUUAAUACACCAUUAAGAUCUAAAGUCCUAAAAU
rnacentral:lncRNA from 1 species